ncrna:unclassified sequences Glutamine riboswitch
AUCGUUCAACUCAUUGUGAGUCGGAAGUAAGUACAUAGUACUGAAGGAACGCAUG